UACGUAGGCAGCGAGCGUUGUUCGGAGUUACUGGGCGUAAAGGGUGUGUAGGCGGUUGUUUUAAGUUUGGUGUGAAAAUCUCCCCGGCUCAACUGGGAGGGGUGCGCCGAAUACUGAAUGACUCGAGUGCGGGAGAGGAGAGUGGAAUUCCUGGUGUAGCGGUGAAAUGCGUAGAUAUCAGGAGGAACACCGGUGGUGUAGACGGCUCUCUGGACCGUAACUGACGCUGAGACACGAAAGCGUGGGUAGCAAACAGG
rnacentral:rRNA from 1 species